UACGGAGGGGGUUAGCGUUGUUCGGAAUUACUGGGCGUAAAGCGCGCGUAGGCGGAUUAGAAAGUUGGGGGUGAAAUCCCGGGGCUCAACCUCGGAACUGCCUCCAAAACUGCUAGUCUAGAGUUCGAGAGAGGUGAGUGGAAUUCCGAGAGUAGAGGUGAAAUUCGUAGAUAUUCGGAGGAACACCAGUGGCGAUGGCGGCUCACUGGCUCGAUACUGACGCUGAGGUGCGAAAGUGUGGGGAGCAAACAGC
rnacentral:rRNA from 1 species